rnacentral:lncRNA from 1 species
UUAUUUUUUUCUCAAAAAAAUGGAAACAUACUUUUGUUUCCAUAAAAAAACAUAGCCCCCAGAAAAUCAAAUGGUUGCUGCCUAACCAUGCUAAUUGCUCACAUUUCAAAGAAGAGAGAAAUAAAUUUAUCAAUGACAAUCCUAAUUUUACUAGGCCAACCUUAUAAAUAUGUUUGUUUGCAGUUUUCCGACUGUACCUUCAGACUGAAGGGUCGGUAGGUAGGAAAAAUAUUUUAUUUUAUCAGCCAAAAUACAGUUUAAACAAGCAGUUACACUAAACCAAGUUUCUUGUGAAGAAAAAAAAACAUUUUAAAACAACAAACACUGGACAUGCUGAAAACCAACAUCAAAUGAACAGGCAUUUUCAGAUAAAAAAAACUUUUUAACCAAAACUGAAACUUUAACAUAGUGC